UGUCCCUGGCCUUGGUAGAGUGGCAUCUACUUAAUGAUGUUUAUCUCAUAUCAGCCAGGGACAAAGCAACCCUUGUUUACUCAACUUGGCUUCUGGUCUGGGCCAUGCCUGGUUCAUGACUUGGACACAUGG
rnacentral:snoRNA from 1 species